ACACCCCAGGCGGAGCAAUGGAGCCGAGUGUAAGGCGUUCCCACUGGACAGGCCAUGGCUAACGGCGGCGUGGCCUCGUGUACCCCGGACGUCUCAAGUUGGAGCAUGUAGUCAAGUUCUUUGAGGUAGUGAUGUCUUUCGUACCCACUUUUCCAAGUGACGUUGACGGCCUCCGGUGUUUCCUGCACCUCAGGUUGAUGCGGUGGCGUCAGCUGGACUGAUCACAGAUGUGUAAACCAACACAGGCAUCAGCACACGUGUGAGCCACCCACAGGCACACACUUCAUCACUUGUUGAUCACAAUGAAUCCAUGCUUACUGUUCAGAUGUGGUGUAAAUCCCUUUGUUACAGUGUAACAGACAGACGAAUGGCAAAGUGUUAUGUCAUAUUUAUUAUAAUUUGCGAAGGUGUUUCUACUAUGUAUUUUGCAGAAACAGCUGUAGCUGUCAUUCAUCCUCCGAAGCGGACAGGAUUCCCCUUUGCCUGGACCCACACUAGCAGAAAGAAGAAAUGAAUUGGCUUGAAUCGUUGAAUUUUCAUGCUUUCAUAUGGUGCAGGAAAUGAAAUUACCUUUUGAAUGUCAGGUUGUAGAUGGUGUUGGACUCAACAGGAUCACCAGUGAUGUUCAAGAAACAAGAAAUUGUGUCCCAAUAGGCCGUCACGCACAAGAAUCCACCAACUGCAACAUGGAGGUGGGAGGAAAUGAUCAUUGCCGUGUACAUUGUGACUGUGAUUUCUUUUGACAAUUGCAAAACCAAAAUCACUUAAAACAUAUUUAAUUGAUUUAUUUAAAGAGCGAAUGAUCAAGGGGUGAAAUAAGUAUUCAGGUCCUUCACUUAAGCAAACAUACGUUGUGUUAUUAGAUUGUGCUACACCAAAAAAUAAUCCAUAAAAGACAAUGAUCGGACCUCUUCAGACCCAGCAACCCAAUCGUAGGUUGUGAGGGUAAGUAUCUCAUUGCGGGUAAACUCACAGAUAAUCUAUAUAAUGGACAAUAAUAAUAAUGGAGAAUAUCUAAUAAAAAUAAUGGAGUAAAAUAUAAAACAACUCUCUUAUUGUAUAACAGAAGAAAUGCUAAAUAACAUUGAAGUACUUAAAUGAUAUUACUGAACUGUUAAUCACAGAAAGAGAACAGAUACAUUUACUUGACAUCUUCUCUAAGCUUCCUACUGGGGGUCGACGGCAAGACGUGAGCCCAAUUAAUAAUGCGAAAGGAAAGCGUUUCACCGUGUGAAGACGCACGACCACAUUUCUAAAGCAUUUCCCACAGAAGAAGUUGAGGGCAAAACGUGUGCGUGUCGAGUCAGAGGAGCUGCACCUGCGAUGCAGCGCGUGAGUUCUGGGAUGCUGGAGCAGCACCACAGCAACAGGAGCUGCUGACACUUCAUGGCUGCAUGUCACCUUUGUGGAGAGGAAUGAAACCUUCUGUAGGACAUUUAUCAUUCCAGUCCAGGACAACAUGAAUUUAUCUUCCUGUUAAAUACACUCAUGAUAGGCAUACAACACAAUCAGAAAUAUAAUACAACUAAAAUAUACAUUAGUUGAGUAAAGACAAGAACAUCAUUAGUUGCCGUGUGUGUGAUGAGGAGAGGAAGGUGCUGUUACCUCUGAGACUCCUCCGGUGCUGCUGAUGUCUCAGACAGUGAAUGACGGACGGAACGAAGUUUAAACUUAUCAAUGGUUACAUCACGGGAAGUCAAACCUCAUUCGUCAUGGUGGUUUUUUUCUUUAACCUUUUGGUUUUCGGCACCAGCUCUUGGUUUUUGUCGCCGUGUGUCACUAUUUCUAUUUGAUUUGAAGGGUGCCCUUUGUGAUUAAUACAACGCAAACGCGUACACCUUUCUUGUUACUCCAGGCGAGAUGUUUUCCCUUACUACUGUUUUGGAAUCAUGUUUGUGUUGUGAUUGAGGUUUUUUUAAGAAUCAACCAUGUCAGAAGACAUUUGUAACUGAGUGCCAGGCUUCGUCUUUACUGGAGGAAUAAAAACCAUCCUUCAAAAAGGUUUCCUCAUUUGGGGUUUUGAUGACGGAGGUGGGGAGGAGCGAUGUCUAACAUCUCCCACCGAGUGGGUUGUCAGCUGGUUCGGGUGACUGUGAAGUGCGCAACACAUGAUUCUCACCAUGGAAGGAAGCGCGUGUAUUCAUUGGUUUAUUCCUUUAUUCUGUCAACCGUCUUCAUUUACUCAGCACACAGACAAUAGGGAGAAAAAGCGAACAUCCCAAUCAACACGAAAACCCAAUUAAACGUUUACAUUUAAAAGGAAAUAAAUUAAAAGUCAUAUUCUCUUCGCAGUAAACACUAGACGAAUAAAUCCCAAAGAGCUUUACAGAUGACGCAAUAAACAAAGGAUCAGAACAACAACAGUAAGCCUGACGUACAGUUCUUCUUCUUCUAUAUAGACUUGCAACCGGGGGCGCAGUGGAGUCUAUGACGAAGGAGGUCGGACUCCAAUGGCAACAAUAAAGCAAUCACUUAAUCACUAAAUGUGCAACAUCUUCUCAAAGUAAAAGCCGGAUCAGAUCUCAAGUCUGUGCCACCAUCCUCGUGGGCAAAUACUUGGGGAGACUCUCAUCCCAUCGGGGGACCUGACACUGGUGAUUUGGACCCUUUCAGAGCAACCUGGAAAUCUUUCAAAAGAGGUCUUCAUCUCCCAAUACAACAGUAACAUAUACAAGAUAUAUAAGAGAGGAAUUGAGCUUGCAAGCUGAAAUGUCUUUAUUGCCAUUAUGCUAUAAACCCCCAAAUAACCAAAAAUUCACAGCUGCAGUUUUUUAAAGUUGUAUGCAUUUAGUCAAAGGCACAAAGUCUCUUCAGGCUUUCAGCUUUCUGAGUGCUGCCUAUUAUAUUUAAAAACUCCAAAGUGCUGUAUUUCUGUUGUUUUCUUUUAAGUUACGUCACUUGUUCAACCUUCACUGUGCAGAGACGUACAUGUGAAGGCUAUUUCCUGCUCUUCCUGCUCUAUGUUGACUUA